AGUGAACGCUGGCGGUAGGCCUAACACAUGCAAGUCGAACGGCAGCACAGUAAGAGCUUGCUCUUACGGGUGGCGAGUGGCGGACGGGUGAGGAAUACAUCGGAAUCUACUUUUUCGUGGGGGAUAACGUAGGGAAACUUACGCUAAUACCGCAUACGACCUACGGGUGAAAUCAGGGGAUCUUCGGACCUUGCGCGUUUGAAUGAGCCGAUGUCGGAUUAGCUCGUUGGCGGGGUAGAGGCCUACCAAGGCGACGAUCCGUAGCUGGUCUGAGAGGAUGAUCGACCACACUGGAACUGAUACGCGGUCCAGACUCCUACGGGGGGCAGCAGUGGGGAAUAUUGGACAAUGGGCGGAGGCCUGAUCCAGCCAUACCGCGUGGGUGAAGAAGGCCUUCGGGUUGUAAAGCCCUUUUGUUGGGAAAGAAAAGCAGCAGGUUAAUACCCCGCUGUUCCGACGGUACCCAAAGAAUAAGCGCCGGCUAACUUCGUG
rnacentral:rRNA from 1 species